rnacentral:snRNA from 1 species
GGCCAAAAGCAGGCUGCAACAUCUAUUGCCCCAUUGAUAACCAGGGAUAACUUAGCUGAUUGGGCUGGCUGGACAGCUGUUCCAGUUGAUCCACUUUGCUCCUUGUGUCCCUACUAAAGCCAUGCCAUCUCUGGAGCAGAAUGACCUUUUCCAAUAGAAGUGUACUUUUCUUGGUCAAGUGCAUGCAAGGAAUUGUGUUCCCCUACUAUCCCCUCCACAUAAACUGCUAGAUGCCCUUCAAGUGAUUCUUAGAAUAAAACAGAUAGAUCUUGGCUUUCUUCU